UACAGAGGGUGCGAGCGUUGUUCGGAAUUAUUGGGCGUAAAGCGUGCGCAGGCGGUGAUGUAAGACAGAUGUGAAAUCCCCGGGCUCAACCUGGGAACUGCAUUUGUGACUGCAUCGCUGGAGUGCGGCAGAGGGGGAUGGAAUUCCGCGUGUAGCAGUGAAAUGCGUAGAUAUGCGGAGGAACACCGAUGGCGAAGGCAAUCCCCUGGGCCUGCACUGACGCUCAUGCACGAAAGCGUGGGGAGCAAACAGG
rnacentral:rRNA from 1 species